GAAGUGAAUACAAAAUUGGAAACUGAAACUUAAACUUUCGUUAAAACCGUUUACAUCAUCAGUUCGUUUAAAUUUAGGAUAAUUAUUUUUUUUGUCAUAUUUGGGCUGCUCUGGCAAGGUAGAAUCAAGAAAUCAGGUUGAAACUGUUUACUAUUCAGUUAUAUUCCACAACAUUGGAAGUAUAAUGUUUUAUCACUUAUAGGAAUUCAUGGAUAAAAAUGGAACUGCAAGUGUGUGAAGAUUUCUUGUGGUAUUGGACAUGCUCUCAUCGUCUGAAGUUUCCAUCACCUCUCUCAGACAUGGGAGAUGGUUCACGCAGAACUAUCUGGGGAUAACCUAAGCCUUUCUUCUUGCUGUGCAGGAAAAUGGUUUCAGAUAGUGCGCUAAGACUUACUGACCUUGUUUGGGCCAAACACUGACAGUCUUAACAAGACAUAUUCACAGAGUUUGGUCCAAACACUGACAGUCUUAACGCGUUAGGUACUCUGCGUUUAGUCCAAACACUGACAGUCUUAACACAACGACUGUUUCGUGUUUGGACCAAACACUGACAGUCUUAACGCGUUUCAGAAUCGGUGUUUAGUCCAAACACUGACAGUCUUAACACACAGGCUGUAAUGUGUUUGGACCAAACACUGACAGUCUUAACGUGUCUCUCCGACUCUGUUCUCUUGUCAGCGGAGAAGCAAGGCUGUGUUAACCAGCCCCCAAUACUGACAGUCUUAACAACGUAGUCUUUGUAGCACAGGGUUAUUCUCCAGAUAUGUAAUCUUUUUUUGCUGAUUUGCAGUAAAAAAAAUGGGGCAAUGAAGUGAUAAUAUUAUUGUCAAUAUUCAUUGUUUAUUGUAUGCAAGUAAUAUGAUACAAUGUAUUCGAUUUCAACUAUUUAGUUCACAAAAACUAAAUAGUUAAAUAUUUGUAAAAGUACUAAUAUGUAAUAAAGCUUUUUCAUUAAUAUUUAUUUGUAAAGAUA